rnacentral:rRNA from 1 species
UACGGGGGGAGCAAGCGUUGUUCGGAUUUACUGGGCGUAAAGGGCGCGUAGGCGGCCACCGCAAGUCAGUUGUGAAAUCUCUGGGCUUAACCCAGAAAGGUCAACUGAUACUGCGGGGCUAGAGUGCAGAAGGGGCAACUGGAAUUCUCGGUGUAGCGGUGAAAUGCGUAGAUAUCGAGAGGAACACCUGCGGCGAAGGCGGGUUGCUGGGCUGACACUGACGCUGAUGCGCGAAAGCGUGGGGAGCGAACCGG